rnacentral:tRNA from 1 species
GCGGGUGUGGCGGAACUGGCAGACGCGCAGGACUUAGGUUCCUGUGUCCGUAGGACAUGAGGGUUCGAGUCCCUCCACCCGCA